rfam:Leersia perrieri chromosome 8, whole genome shotgun sequence.
CCGAUGGAUGAAGAAGAUCUCGUGGCAUAUAUCCUGAACGGCCUCGACGAGGAGUUUGAACCGGUGGUCUCCAGUAUAGUGGGACGGGUUGAUCCCGUACCACUGACUGAGGUCUUCUCCCAGCUGCUGCACUUUGAGA